rnacentral:rRNA from 1 species
AACGCGAAGAACCUUACCUGGGCUUGAACCGCACAGGACCAGCUCCAGAAAUGGGGCCUUCCCGCAAGGGACCUGUGUAGAGGUGCUGCAUGGCUGUCGUCAGCUCGUGUCGUGAGAUGUUGGGUUAAGUCCCGCAACGAGCGCAACCCUUGUUUGCUGUUGCCAUCAGGUUAUGCUGGGCACUCUGCAAAGACCGCCGGUGAUAAACCGGAGGAAGGUGGGGAUGACGUCAAGUCAGCAUGGCCUUUAUGUCUGGGGCUACACACGUGCUACAAUGGCCGGUACAAACCGUCGCGAGCCCGCGAGGGGGAGCUAAUCGGAAAAAGCCGGUCUCAGUUCGGAUAGCAGGCUGCAACUCGCCUGCUUGAAGUUGGAAUCGCUAGUAAUCGCGGAUCAGCACGCCGCGGUGAAUACGUUCCCGGGCCUUGUACACACCGAGACGAC